AACUUAAGUGCCAACUUACUUAAGUAAUUUUGGAAAUAAAUGGAGUCUGUAAGACUAAAAACAAAAAGAAUUGCACAUAAGCACUGUAUUCUGCUUGAUAAAGUUAUUGCCAUGGGUUAACAAUUCGGAUACUGUCAUGCAUGUAUACUGGAAUUGGACAAUUAAGCAAUUGGAUGGUGGAUGGUAGGAGCCAAGUUUUUCACUGUUGAGAAAUUUGAGAUUGGAAAUUUAGAGAUAAGCAAGGGUGGAGGCUAAAAUUAUCUUUGUGGUAAUUUAUUAGAGUUGGAGAUAGAAAAAUCUUCUGUGCAAAAGAAUUCCAAAUAACUUAUGCAAAUAUUACACCCUCAAGGAGGUGGCUCAUAACUCUUCACUCUAAAUGUGGGCUUCACAGAGCGACUUCAUUCCAGAGACUACAGUAUGAGGAAGGUGAGAAAGGAGUAACUUUACAGUGGAGAAACCUGACAAACUACCUCAGACAAACAGGGCCAAUGUCAACCAUAAGUCAUGUCAAUAGUACGUAUUCUUGAUACAGUGUGAUAGGAACGGCACUUCACCUCUGCAAGAUUCCUCUCCAAAACCCCUAUCCCUACUAUAAUCACGAGAAAAAUAUCAGA
rnacentral:lncRNA from 1 species